UCGAGAAUCAUUCGCAAUGGGCGAAAGCCUGACGAUGCGACGCCGUGUGAGCGAUGAAGGCCUUCGGGUUGUAAAGCUCUUUCGCCUGGGAACAAGAGAAGGUGGCUAACAUCCACUUAAUUUGAGGGUACCAGGUAAAGAAGCACCGGCUAACUCCGUGCCAGCAGCUGCGGUAAUACGGAGGGUGCAAGCAUUAAUCGGAUUUAUUGGGCGUAAAGGGCGCGUAGGUGGUAAGGAAAGUCAGAUGUGAAAUCCCGGGGCUCAACCUCGGAACAGCAUUUGAAACUUCUUUUCUAGAGGAUAGGCGGAGAAAACGGAAUUCCACAAGUAGCGGUGAAAUGCGUAGAUAUGUGGAAGAACACCGGUGGCGAAGGCGGUUUUCUAGCUUAUUCCUGACACUGAGGCGCGAAAGCAAGGGGAUCAAACA
rnacentral:rRNA from 1 species